CAUUAUAUAUAUAUAUAUAUGAUUAAAAGAGACAGACGGGGACAUUCGUACCGGAACGACCGAGCCGUACAUAAGCUCGGCUAAUUCUAUUGGAGGGCAAGUCUGCUGCCAACAGCCGCGGUAAUUCCAGCUCCAGUAGCGUAUAUUAAAGUUGCUGCGGUUAAAUCGCUCGUAGUUGGAUUUUGGUGCACGACGACGGUCGUCCUAAGCAGGAGUCGUUCUGUCGCUCGUCA
rnacentral:ncRNA from 1 species